rnacentral:tRNA from 1 species
CAGAGAAUAUUUUAUAUAAAAUAUUAAUUUUGGGGAUUAAUGAAGAGAUAUUAAAUCUUUUCUCUGA